UCUUAGAUGACUGAGUUAUAAGUGCUAGACUUUUAAUCUAGACACGGCUGAGUUUUAGCCUCUAAGAA
rnacentral:tRNA from 2 species